rnacentral:rRNA from 1 species
GACGAACGCUGGCGGCGCGCCUAACACAUGCAAGUCGAACGGAGAUUACAGGCGGAAGUUUUCGGAUGGAAGCUUGUAAACUUAGUGGCGGACGGGUGAGUAACACGUGAGCAACCUGCCUAUCAGAGGGGGAUAACGAUUGGAAACGACUGCUAAUACCGCAUAAGCGCACAGCUUCGCAUGAAGCAGUGUGAAAAACUCUGGUGGUACAAGAUGGACCCCGCGUCUGAUUAGCUGGUUGGUGAGGUAACGGCCCACCAAGGCGACGAUCAGUAGCCGGCCUGAGAGGGUGAACGGCCACAUUGGGACUGAGACACGGCCCAAAACUCCUACGGGAGGCAGCAGUGGGGAAUAUUGCACAAUGGGGGAAACCCUGAUGCAGCAACGCCGCGUGAGUGAAGAAGUAUUUCGGUAUGUAAAGCUCUAUCAGCAGGGAAGAGAAAUGACGGUACCUGACUAAGAAGCACCGGCUAAAUACGUGCCAGCAGCCG